GUCAGAGCCUCACCCCCACCCCCCACCCCACGCGCUCUGCGUGUGACUUCCUGUGACCUCCCCAUCCCCCGCCCCAGAGACUGGGAUGGGGGCAGGGCACAGAGGCAGAUUCGGAAAGGCAGGAGUGUGAAUGUUACCCUCAGGGCACAUCUCAUUUUGGACCAGCCACAUUUUAAGCUCUCAAGAUCCACACGCGGACAAGUGGCUGCCACAUCCGACCGUGCAGAAAUGGAUGAUGGCGCCAUCGGAGAUCUGGAGGGUGGCUUCCUCAAAGUCCAGAUUUAACAGGUGACAGUGUGCCUCCAGGAGACAGCGUGGCUACGGUCAAGACCCUGGAGUCUGCAGCCAGACUGCGGGGUUCAGAUACUAGUUCUGGAACUUGCAAGUUGCAGCUCCAACUUGAAAGGGGGAACCACCCACAAGGCCUCAGAGGGAUGUUGUGAAGAUUAAACGAAGGAAUAAGCACGGAACACUGAGAACAGGGCCUGGCACCUAUUAAAGGCAGUAUGAGGGCUGACUUUUAUUACUGAUUGGAGAUUCAGGAAAGAGAAAAUCUCUCGGGUCCACAUGAAAAGUUGAAGAAUGAACACUCCUUGCAAAACGUCCCAUCCUCAAAGUGGAGGAUGCCCAGGCCGUGGGGGCGCACACAACUUGUCACACACGUGUGGGAUGCACGGGCCACUCCGGGUCCCCCAGGGCGAGCGUGCCCGCCGUCCCUGCUGGAACGGGCCUGCGCCAUCCCAAAGCUUUGGCCGCCUCCCGGUGUCAACACUGCUGCCUGUUCUCCGGUCCUCACUUUUCUGUUCUGAUCUGUGCAGUGACUUGAAUGGCGUGCGCCGCCCCCCCCCCCCCCCCCCCCCCCGCCCCGUCCCAGAUGGGUCCACCUGAGACCUGUGCACGGGAGCUUCUUUGAAAAAAGGGUCUUUGCGGAUUCUAUUCAGGUGAGGAUCUCAGAUGAGCUCCUCCUGGAUUAUCGGGACAGGCCCUGAACCUGACAGCAAGCAUCCUUAGAUGAGAAAGGCAGAGGGUGACAAGACACAGAUCAGAAGAGACGCCACGUGAAGAUGGAGGCAGAGACAGCGUGAGGCAGCCACAAGCUAAGGGCGCCUGAGGCCGCCAGAGGCUGGAGGAGAAGAGCAGGAUCCUCCCCAGAACCUUUGGAGGGAGGGUGGCUCCGCUGACACUUUGAUUUAGGACUUCCAGCCUCCAGAGAAUAAAUUUCUUUUGUUUUAAGCUACCAAGUUGGUAGUAAUUUGUUACAGCAGCACAGGAAAUGAAUACAAUCUGUUUGGGGGCCUGCCUCCUCCACCCUGAAGGCAGAGUUUCUAUGGCUUUCAGAUACCAUCUCCUCCAGCCCUCCCUCACAGGAGGAAACUGAGGCUGGGAAAGAGGGCAGGGCCGGAACUAGACCUCAGGCCCCCAGCUCAAGGGGUCUCUGUGGAAACUUGCAGAGUAUUUUGCCUCUUGUAAACAUACAGAAUUUUCUUUUUUUUUUUUUUGAGGAAGAUUAGCCCUGAGCUAACUACUGCCAAUCCUCCUCUUUUUGCUGAGGAAGACUGGCCCUGAGCUAAGAUCUGUGCCCAUCUUCCUCUACUUUAUACGUGGGACGCCUACCACAGCAUGGCGUGCCAAGCAGUGCCAUGUCUGCACCCAGGAUCCGAACCAGUGAACCCUGGGCCGCCAGGAAGAGGAAUGUGCAAACUUAACCGCUGCGCCACCGGGCCGGCCCCAGUGGUGGAGAACAUAAGCUUCAGUUGGAGUCCUGGUUUGGUUGCUUCUUUGCUGUGUGGCCUUAGGCAAGAGACGAACCUCUCUGUACUUUAGUUUUUCCCUCUCUAAAAUGAAAAGAACAGGAUAAGUCAUCUCAGAAGGUUGCCAUGUGGAGUUUUUU
rnacentral:lncRNA from 1 species